GACGAACCGUGCGAACGUUGUUCGGAAUCACUGGGCUUAAAGGGCGCGUAGGCGGCUUGCCAAGUCAGGGGUGAAAUCCUGCAGCUUAACUGUAGAAGGGCCUUUGAUACUGGCGAGCUCGAGGGAGGUAGGGGUAUGUAGAACUUCCGGUGGAGCGGUGAAAUGCGUUGAUAUCGGAAGGAACGCCGGUGGCGAAAGCGACGUACUGGACCUCUUCUGACGCUGAGGCGCGAAAGCUAGGGGAGCAAACGGG
rnacentral:rRNA from 1 species